rnacentral:lncRNA from 1 species
AUUUGCUGUUUCCUCCUGCCCUCUUUCCUUCCUGUCCUAAAUUAUGUAGUGUCUAUAUAUGAUGUGAAAUGGCAUCUCUACCUGUGAAGAACACGUUCUUGUCAGACCUACUGGUUAUUUUCAUGUAAGGAGAAGGGAUUGUGCGGGCCCAGCCUUAGCAUUUGUGCAGCUGCCGUGGGAUGCUGUUGGACAUGAAGAGACGCAGUGCUGACACCCCGCCUGCCCUCGGGGCUGUGGUGAUCCUGUCCUGAGAGCCCCACGGACCUUCCCCAGAGCUGUCCACAGCUGCCUGUGCUUUCCUUUCUGCAGAACUGCUGUCUCCUGCUUUUGGAAGAACUCCUAGCUGGCAGAGACUGACCCUGCCUCUGGUAAUACCUGCUGAGGAACACCUUGCCAGAGGCCACCGGCGGAGAGCCCACCGGCAGCUCCUCCACUGUGCCUGUCCAUGGCUUCCAGAUCUUGUCUCUAUGGCAACUGAGACGAUCCAUCAGCAGCUCCAUCAGCAGCGGAGCAGCAGAAGACAGGGCUUGAUGGCUUCCUAUCACUUAUUAACAACGCUCGCUCCUGCGGUGCAGAUAAGUGAAGAAAAAUCCAUAACUGCCAUGACACUUGCUAGGUA